rnacentral:lncRNA from 12 species
AGAGAGGGGGAAAGAGAGCAGAUGAUGACUUGAGGCACCUGCAGCUGCUUGCACCCAAAUCAAAGUAAAGGCUGAGCUCACUGGAAUGGAAAAACACUGAAUUUACCGGGAGUGAGUUGGCUCUGUGCUAGUCCCCAGAUUUGAAGACACUGAGGCAUGCCAGGCCUCUGUAGGAGUCUCCUCCUAUAGAGUAGGUCCUCCUACUCUCCUCCUGGAGUCUGAGUUAACAAUUCAAGGUCCCACUGUGGAAUGCUGGAGCUCCUCACCCCAUGCCCUGGGCCUGAGUGUUUAUAGAAUGAUGACUUGGGAAGGAGGGCACCUCUCCUUUCUGUAUGGAUCAAUGCUUAAUUCAAAAGAAUGGCUUUCUAAUAGUGGAAUUUCUAGUAUUUGGCAUCUGCUUUUCUUUUAACCUUGACUCAUCAGCAAGCACCUACAUGUGAGGUGAGCUCUAUGUGUAUUUGUCUAAGUCAGGAGUCAACAAACUAUGUUUAUGGGCUAAAUUGGGCCAAUUGCCUGUUUUUGUAAAUCAAGUUUCAUUAGAUCACAGCCACAUUGUUGGUUUACGUAUUGUUUAUGGCUGCUUUCAGCCCUACAAAUGGUAGAGUGGAGGAUUUGGGACAGAGACUAUAUGGCCCACAAAGUCUGAAAUAUUUAUACUCUUUCUGGCCCUUUAUGGAGAAUCUCAGUUUAAGUUAACACCUAGGUUAAAUUCACAGUAGUGUUGAGAUGCGGGUAUGGUCCCAGAGGAAUCUGCUUUUGACUCUGUCAAGGGGCAUUUUUCUCCAGAAAUGUGAAGCAUGAAAAGAGCCCUAUGAUCAGAUAUUUCCAAAAAUAAUACUAAUGCUACCUCAAAUUAAAGCCUUUUACUUACUUCAUCUGAUCUUAAGGCUCAACAAUGGCCUCGGGGUAGAUACUGUUGACCCAGUUUUAGAGAUUGUAAAACCAAUGGCUCUGGGGAGUUACUGACAUGGCCUAUGUCUCAGAGCUUGCAUGGGAUAGAGCUGAGACUCAAAUCCUGGUCUGAAGUGUGAUCAUAGCGACAUCCCCAAAUGCCUCAAAUGAUAAGUACUACCAUCUAUUAAAUACUAGGUACUAUGUAGUACAACUUCUCUCUACUUCCUUAUUUAACCUCCAAGCCAACUUCAUCAGAGAUGGGAAUGUGCAGCACUAUUGCAUUAA